rnacentral:rRNA from 1 species
GCAGUCGGACGGGAUUGGAGCUUCGGUUCCUGAGAGUGGCGCACGGGGUGCGUAACACGUAUGUAACCUACCUUAAUCAGGGGGAUAGCCUCUCGAAAGAGAGAUUAAGACCGCAUAACAUUAUGGAGUAGCAUUACUUUAUAAUCAAAUAUUUAUAGGAUUAAGAUGGGCAUGCGGAACAUUAGCUAGUUGGUAAGGUAAUGGCUUACCAAGGCUACGAUGUUUAGGGGAUCUGAGAGGAUGACCCCCCACACUGGUACUGAGACACGGACCAGACUCCUACGGGAGGCAGCAGUAAGGAAUAUUGGUCAAUGGGCGGAAGCCUGAACCAGCCAUGCCGCGUGCAGGAAGACUGCCCUACGGGUUGUAAACUGCUUUUGUACCGGAAUAAACCUUGAUAUGUAUAUCAAGCUGAAUGUACGGUAAGAAUAAGGAUCGGCUAACUCCGUGCCAGCAGCCGCGGUAAUACGGAGGAUCCAAGCGUUAUCCGGAUUUAUUGGGUUUAAAGGGUGCGUAGGUGGCUUUUUAAGUCAGGGGUGAAAGACGGUAGCUUAACUAUCGCAGUGCCCUUGAUACUGAAGAGCUUGAAUGAACUAGAGGUAGGCGGAAUGUGACAAGUAGCGGUGAAAUGCAUAGAUAUGUCACAGAACACCAAUUGCGAAGGCAGCUUACUAUGGUUAAAUUGACACUGAGGCACGAAAGCGUGGGGAUCAAACAGGAUUAGAUACCCUGGUAGUCCACGCCCUAAACGAUGAAUACUCGAUGUUGGCGAUAUACGGUCAGCGUCUAAGCGAAAGCGUUAAGUAUUCCACCU